rnacentral:rRNA from 1 species
GUGGGGAAUAUUGGACAAUGGGCGCAAGCCUGAUCCAGCAAUGCCGCGUGGGUGAAGAAGGUCUUCGGAUCGUAAAGCCCUUUCGACAGGGACGAUGAUGACGGUACCUGUAGAAGAAGCCCCGGCUAACUUCGUGCCAGCAGCCGCGGUAAUACGAAGGGGGCUAGCGUUACUCGGAAUUACUGGGCGUAAAGGGCGCGUAGGCGGCUCUGUUAGUCAGGCGUGAAAUUCCUGGGCUUAACCUGGGGACUGCGCUUGAUACUGCAGGGCUUGAGGCCGAGAGAGGGUGGUGGAAUUCCCAGUGUAGAGGUGAAAUUCGUAGAUAUUGGGAAGAACACCGGUGGCGAAGGCGACCACCUGGCUCGGUUCUGACGCUGAGGCGCGACAGCGUGGGGAGCAAACAGGAUUAGAUACCCGGGUAGUCC